UCUAACUUGGAGGCGUGUUUUGUAAUUUGUAUUACCCUAGUUCUCAAUUUUCCUGUCUCCAUUUUUCAUCACCUUCACGCCAGUGUUCUUCUUGCUCCCCAUGUUCUUCGCCACGUUGAAUAUCAUCUUCGUCUAUGUUCCCAUUAGCUUUACCGGCGUCCCGUAUAAAAUUCACAUUGGCCCUAGAUUCUCAAGUUUGCGUUGCAGAGACCAGUAGAGCACCAAGCAUCUCAACCUCCCUCUUCUGCAAUGAAUCAGUCCCUUCGUCGAUCUCAGCCAUGGGCUUAACAUCCAUCUUUUCUUCUUUGUUGUUCAUCCCCCAUUUUACUUCCCCCCCUCCCAGCGACUCUUGUCGAACCCCCACAACUUUUGCAGUGACGAUCUCGUGGUCGCUCACCUUUUCCAACGAGACCCGGAGAUUUCUUAGGCCAUACUUCAAUUUUAAUUCAAUGAUCAUGGAUGAGGAAAAUAACGUACAUAGCAAUGGGAGAAACCACGCUCGAGAAUGCAUUGUGGCAGUCGAUUGAAGCGGCAUAGUUAUGAUUCCAACAGCAGCAAGCGCAAGCACUUCGAAGAUUAUGCUGGUUUAAAAAGUCAAAGGCUUUUUGAACCUUUAGAGGAAUUCCACAUUGAUCAAAGGUUGGAAUUUUGUUAUCAGGUUAUGAUGCAAUUCUUGGGAGGGAGCUUAAAGCAAUAAGAGAAGCUUUGCGAAUGAAUUUUGAAUAUGCAAAUUGGGAGGGAUUGGGAGACUAGGAAGAUUUUCACCUUCAAGUACAUUGGGUUUUUGAGGGAUUCUUUUGGUCUAGGUGUAACCUUUACUAUGAUAGGUAAGUAGCCAAUUUAUAGAAAUGGUGAAAUUAUUUCUAUCAGCAGCGAUUCUUAUUUGUGCAUGCUCUCAUAUUAUGAACUUAUCAUAAAAUAUAAAUUAAAGUUUUGCUACAAUUAUGUACGUUGUUAGUCAUUGCUUUAUAGAGUUUUUCAGGAUGUGUCCUCUAUAAACCAGGUUUUAAAUUGAAGUUUUGUCAUUUAUUUUGUUCUGUAUCAGGUUUCUAGUUUUUUCUACAGCAAUGUAAAUAUGCUUUUGUGACAUUAAUUGGGAUGGAUAAAGAAAUUUAGUUACUUAUGCUUAUAAAGAUUUAUGUUCAACUAAGUAUAUGUUAUCAGUAGUUAGCUUGUAUUCUUUUGUUGCCGACAAAUUACACCUUACUAGAGGAUGCAAGCUAAAGGUUUGUCGUGAUAUAUUUUCCAUUCCUAUGUAAGAACUAUUUUCUUUUGAUAAUGUUUUUGUUUUUUGCACAACAGAAUUGAUUAUUGUUCUCACAAAAUAAGUUCAUUGUAGCUCGGAUUUGAUGAACAAUAUAUGCAAGAAUAUAGGUUUCAAUCUAUGGGAAUGGAAAAGAAAAGCCCCUAACAGGAUUUUUGUUUUACAAGGAGCUAAUUAAAGGAUUAUGUUUAAACCAAUGAUCAACUAAGGUGUGGAGUAUAAUUUUUUGAUGGUAGUUUGUUUGGUUGCUACACUUCAAUAAUUCAAUUUCACUUGGUAGCUGUGCUGCUUAAUACCUACUUUGCCUCCCUAUGGAAUGCUUAAGCCAAUGCUUGAUACACUUCUAAGUUUUGUUUGAUACAUUUUUUUAAUUGUUGAAGUUAUGUAAAAUUGUUACCUACGAAGGAAGAUAAAAGGUAAAUCCAUCAUCUAUUUUUAAGCCAGAAAUACGUAGGAUCCCAAACAUUUUUUCCUCUUUAAUGAAUUUGAUUUUGAAGCACAUUGUCCUAUCAAGUUUUGGAUUUUAAAUAAUUGCUAGCACUUGAAGCUGCAUAACUGAAUUUUCUUGAGCCAUUGAUUCCGUAACUGUGAUUGUAUGUGUUUUCCUCUCCUCCCUAUUUUGCAUUGAUUUGUAUAUGUCUGGUGCCAUAUGUGAUUAUCAAUGCACAGUCCUUGUAGAAUGUUCAAACAAUACUUUUCUAACAUAUUUAGUUAUAUUUUCUGUACUAUAUAAGUUAACACCGGAUUAUAUAUUGCAAUCCCAACUAUGUCUUUGUAUCUAUAUAGAUUCAUUAUAUUGAAUUUCUGCAUGUCUAUGUAUCAUUAACUGCCUGAUUCUGUUCACAUUGAGUUUAUCAUUCGAUAUUAGUUCUAGGAAGUUAAUCUUGCUAAUUCCUUAGAUAUUGAAUUUUUUCACCAAUUAGUGUAUUGGCUCCUGAAGGAAUAGCCUCUUGCUUUUACUAAUAUAGCACUAUUUGAGGAGGAAAACAUUUGUUCAUGACUUAGAUUUGUUUCUUCAUGUAGUUCCAUCAAGAUUGAUGUCUUGAACUUAUCACAAAUUUUGUAGAUUCAUGUUGAGAGGUUUGAGUUUAAAGAAAUUGGCAGUGGAAUUUGCACUUGGAGAGAAUAUGUAUGAUAGAGAUUAAAAAGCAUCAAUGGCUUUUAAGGAACUUGCCCACUGAAAUAAUGGAAGGAUGAAGCUAGGAAAGUGUAGAGGAAGUGUUAGUCAUAAUAUAAGGAAGAAAACCUCCCAAUAUAUCCAUGUGGUGGUCUAUUUGUGAGAGGCAGCAACAUGAAAAUGAAUUUGGCGCUGAAGCGGAUCUUGAAGGUAUAGAAACAAGAGGUGAAUUUAUGAGUUAUAUUCAAGCAUAGUUGCAAACGACAUGUUGAGCUAUUCUUUGAUGUCUAUGAAAUUUUUGUUUCUUUUUAAUAGGAGUUAUAAAUAUGUGAUUUUUUUUAUA